rnacentral:rRNA from 1 species
UACAGAGGUCUCAAGCGUUGUUCGGAUUCAUUGGGCGUAAAGGGUGCGUAGGCUGUAAGGUAAGUUGGAUGUGAAAUCCCGGGGCUCAACCCCGGAACUGCAUUCAAUACUGCCCUACUAGAGUACUGGAGAGGAGAUUGGAAUUCACGGUGUAGCAGUGAAAUGCGUAGAUAUCGUGAGGAAGACCAGUGGCGAAGGCGAAUCUCUGGACAGUUACUGACGCUGAGGCACGAAGGCCAGGGGAGCAAACGGG